GAUGAACGCUGGCGGCGUGCCUAAUACAUGCAAGUCGAGCGAACAGAUGAGGAGCUUGCUCCUCUGACGUUAGCGGCGGACGGGUGAGUAACACGUGGAUAACCUACCUAUAAGACUGGGAUAACUACGGGAAACCGGAGCUAAUACUGGAUAAUAUAUUGAACCGCAUGGUUCAAUAGUGAAAGACGGUUUUGCUGUCACUUAUAGAUGGAUCCGCGCCGCAUUAGCUAGUUGGUAAGGUAACGGCUUACCAAGGCAACGAUGCGUAGCCGACCUGAGAGGGUGAUCGGCCACACUGGAACUGAGACACGGUCCAGACUCCUACGGGAGGCAGCAGUAGGGAAUCUUCCGCAAUGGGCGAAAGCCUGACGGAGCAACGCCGCGUGAGUGAUGAAGGUCUUCGGAUCGUAAAACUCUGUUAUUAGGGAAGAACAAAUGUGUAAGUAACUAUGCACGUCUUGACGGUACCUAAUCAGAAAGCCACGGCUAACUACGUG
rnacentral:rRNA from 1 species